GGAUGCCAAAGGACAGUGCUCUGGGUCAAUAUUAGGGUCAGAGCACUGUCCUUUGGCAUCCUGUCCCACGGCAAAGGGUAUAUCUACUGAUGGGUGCCCAACAUUCUAGGACUCUCUAACGUUUCAUAGUAUGCUAGAAUUGUAUAUUUCUUGUCAUCAACGUAUUUCUUUGAAUGUCUUAAAAAUGGCAUGGGCAAUCGAACCUUAUCAAUGGCAAAAUUUCUACUUCUGCUGUAAAAAAAUAAAGAAGUUGCACGUAACACUGCAAAAAAAAAAUUAAUUUUACAAUAAUUUAAUUAUUGUAAUUGACUGAAAUCAGUUAUUAUUAGUAAUUAAUUUUGUAAUUGAUUUGUGAUUUUAAUUUUUUUAGUAAAAUAAUUAAUUCUAAAAAAAUUUGACAACCGAUUCAAGAAUCAGUUGCUAAAUCGAUUGUUAUUAGCAAUUGAUUUAUAAUUGGUUGCUAAAAUCGAUUGUCAAUAGCAACAGAUUUAUAAUAGGUUGCUAAAUCGGUUACUAAUCAAUAUUAGAAAAACUUUAAAUAUACAAUUAGUAACCUAUUUAAAAUCGAUUGCUAUUAGCAACCGAUUAAGAAAUCGGUUACUAAAAUUUGUUGGUAAUAGCAACUAAUUAUAAAAUUAGUUGUUAACAACAACCAAUUUUAAAAUUGGCUCCUAUCAGGUGCCGAUUUAGGAAAACGGUUGCUAACAACAGCCGAUUUAGGAAAUCGGCUGCUAAAUUAAAGAAUUAUUUUAA
rnacentral:misc_RNA from 1 species